rnacentral:tRNA from 1 species
GGGCCUGUAGCUCAGUUGGUCAGAGCAGCGGACUCAUAAUCCGUCGGUCGAAGGUUCGAGUCCUUCCGGGCCCACCA